rfam:Rosellinia necatrix DNA, scaffold: Contig3, strain: W97.
CUCCUGAUGGCACAGUUGGUAGCGCGUUGGACUGUAAUUGAAAUUUAUAUAGACAUCCACAGGUCGUGUGUUCGAAUCACACUCAGGAGA